rnacentral:rRNA from 1 species
GACGAACGCUGGCGGCGUGCCUAACACAUGCAAGUCGAACGGAAAGGCCCUGCUUUUGUGGGGUGCUCGAGUGGCGAACGCGUGAGUAACACGUGAGUAACCUGCCCUUGACUUUGGGAUAACUUCAGGAAACUGGGGCUAUUAUCGCGUAGGAGCUCCUGCUGCAUGGUGGGGGUUGGAAAGUUUCGGCGGUGGGGUAUGGACUCGCAGGUUAUCAGCUUGUUUGUGGGGUAGUGGCUGACCAAGUCUUUGAGGGGUAGCCGGCCUGGGAGGGUGACCGGGGUCAAUGGUACUGAGAGAGGGACCAGUAGGCAACGGGAGGCAACAGUGGGGAAUAUUGCAGAAUGGGCGGGAGUCUGAUACGACAAUGCCGGGUGCGGGAUGACGGGCUUCGAGUUAUGAACAGCUGUCGCCUGUGACGAGGAGUGAGUGACGGUAAUGGGUAAAGAAGCCACGGCUAACUACGUG